AAAAUAGAGCGGUUCUCACCAAUCAGAAUGUGGGAGCAAAACCGUUCUAUUAUUUCUCUCCAUUCAGAAAAAUAGUGCAGCAGUUUCGCAACAAUCAUCAAAGUCUUUAGUUUUUAUACUCCAUAUUUUCUCCUUUCGAUUCACAACCGUUCAAAAACUCUUAAAAUCCUCUUUGAAUAAGUUCUUCAAGCAAUCAAGAUUCAAGGGUGCGGUUAGGUGUCGGGAUUUCUGUGCGGCGCAAUUAGAAUCUCUAUCCCCGAGUUAAGCAUUAGUCAAGUUUACUACCAAGGAUUUGAGGCGAGGAGCAAGGAGAUGCGUGAUGGAUGUGUGUGGUGCUUUGGAUAUUUUAAUCAUGCUUUCUAUAGUAUUAUUAAAGACUCUUUGUUGGUUAAAAAAAAUUUAGGAUUUGAAGUUUAGUUUAUUUUUAUGGUAAGGUUUAAGAGUUUCUAGUGAAUCAUAUUUGACUUUCUUAUAUUAAGUUAGGUACUUUGAUAAAUUAGUAUUACGUUUUCUGUCUA